rnacentral:rRNA from 1 species
CAGUAGCCGCGGUAUCACGGAGGGGGCUAGCGUUGUUCGGAAUUACUGGGCGUAAAGCGCACGUAGGCGGCUUGGUAAGUUAGAGGUGAAAGCCCGGAGCUCAACUCCGGAAUUGCCUUUAAGACUGCCGAGCUAGCAGGUGAGAGAGGUAAGUGGAAUUCCGAGUGUAGAGGUGAAAUUCGUAGAUAUUCGGAAGAACACCAGUGGCGAAGGCGGCUUACUGGCUCAUACUGGACGCUGAGGUGCGAAAGCGUGGGGAGCAAACAGGAUUAGAUACCCGAGUAGUCCCUGUCUCUUAUAC